CGGGGGAGGCUGGAUCCUGGGCUGUGUCCCGGCGCCCUGUGCUCCGGAGCCUGCGCUGUUGGAUUCGCGCUCCCUCCCCGCAGCCCCCU
rfam:Canis lupus familiaris chromosome 4, whole genome shotgun sequence.